GCAGGCAACCAAGCAUUCAAGAUCUAGAGCAAGAUUUAUUUUACCUAUUCCACCAAUUCCAUUGAUCCUGGUUUCAAGAUCUGAAAGUGAAUCUGGGAUGUAUAGGAUUGGUGUAAUAGGUAAAACAACACUUGCACUAGAAGCAAAAUAUAUAUUUGUUUGC
rnacentral:pre_miRNA from 1 species